rnacentral:ncRNA from 1 species
UAUUUUCAGGGCGGGGCGAAAUUCCCCACCGGCAGUAAGAAGAAUGAGUUACUUCAAAGUCUGCGAACCGCUUCACGCGGCCGAAUCGGUGAAAUUCCGAUACCGACGGUUAAAGUCCGGAUGAGAGAAAAUG